rnacentral:rRNA from 1 species
UACACUCCUGCGGGAGGCAGCAGUGGGGAAUAUUGCACAAUGGGCGCAAGCCUGAUGCAGCCAUGCCGCGUGUAUGAAGAAGGCCUUCGGGUUGUAAAGUACUUUCAGCGGGGAGGAAGGCAAUACGGUUAAUAACCGUGUUGAUUGACGUUACCCGCAGAAGAAGCACCGGCUAACUCCGUGCCAGCAGCCGCGGUAAUACGGAGGGUGCAAGCGUUAAUCGGAAUUACUGGGCGUAAAGCGCACGCAGGCGGUCUGUCAAGUCGGAUGUGAAAUCCCCGGGCUCAACCUGGGAACUGCGUUCGAAACUGGCAGGCUUGAGUCUUGUAGAGGGGGGUAGAAUUCCAGGUGUAGCGGUGAAAUGCGUAGAGGUCUGGAGGAAUACCGGUGGCGAAGGCGGCCCCCUGGACAAAGACUGACGCUCAGGUGCGAAAGCGUGGGGAGCAAACAGGAUUAGAAACCCCGGUAGUCCCA